GAUGAACGCUGGCGGCGUGCUUAACACAUGCAAGUCGAACGGGAUCCAUCGGGCUUUGCUUGGUGGUGAGAGUGGCGAACGGGUGAGUAAUGCGUGACCGACCUGCCCCAUGCACCGGAAUAGCUCCUGGAAACGGGUGGUAAUGCCGGAUGUUCCAGUUGAUCGCAUGGUCUUCUGGGAAAGCUUUCGCGGUAUGGGAUGGGGUCGCGUCCUAUCAGCUUGACGGCGGGGUAACGGCCCACCGUGGCUUCGACGGGUAGCCGGCCUGAGAGGGCGACCGGCCACAUUGGGACUGAGAUACGGCCCAGACUCCUACGGGAGGCAGCAGUGGGGAAUAUUGCACAAUGGGCGCAAGCCUGAUGCAGCGACGCCGCGUGAGGGAUGGAGGCCUUCGGGUUGUAAACCUCUUUUAUCGGGGAGCAAGCGUGAGUGAGUU
rnacentral:rRNA from 1 species